GUAACUAUUAAGGUUUCAGGUGUGGAUGCGUGCAAUAUUUCAAUGUAGUUCUGCACCAUUACUACCUUGCAGAUAUGUAAUGGACAAGAAUUUCAGUUCACGGGCGAAGGGAAAUAUAUUCUGCUGCACAUAAGGCAGGAACUAAAGUAUUCUUGAAGAGCCCGAAAAAUCAUAACAAG